UCUCUCCCCAGCUCCUGACUCAUUUGCACCGCCCUGCGCCUUGCUCCGUGGUGACAGGGUUGGUCUUCCUCUUCUGCAUUUCAGCGCUGUGAACCUUCACGACCCCUGAGCCAGCAUCAUUCACAUCCAGACUCCAAGGCUGAGAAGAGGAGGCCAUGCGUCAUCAAGGGUCUUAGAAGAUGAAAUCUCAAGGCAUUAAGCUGCCCCACAGCUGGCCUGCUUCUGCUGGAAAUUCCAUCCACAAGGAAGCAGGGGGAGUGGGCUGCUCGAGAGCCAGCCAGCAAAUUCCUGAAGCGUUAACAGAACAAAGAGGAGAGGUGGAGAAAGGAGGGCAGGAUACGAGAAGUUGCCAGUCCUCACUAAGGUAAGAGGGGCCGGGACCCAGAGCCCACAGAGGAGGAGCCCACGGAGGAAGAAGGGGAGGAAGAGAGGGGGGCAAGGCGGUUCUGCUGGUCAAGGGACAGCCCCAUGGCGGAACUGAGCGCAGGGCUGCGGGAGCACUGAGGUCUUAAAAGAUGCUCAAUACCAGCAUCCCCCAGCUUUCUUCUUCCUCUUUCUCACCUUUUAGCCCUGCAGAAUGUCACCUCAUCCUUCAGAGAUCUGCCCAAAUGUCACAUCUUCAGGAAAGCCAUCCAAGCCUUCCGAGAGGGACACAGUACUGGCGACAUACACUCUCCUAGCAAUCCACACUUCUCCUUCCAAGCACUUUCCCAUAAAAACUUAAUUACAGAGAGUUGAGAAAAUUAUUCUCUUGGAUUCAUGGGAUUCUGACAUCAUCAUUCCAUGCCAGGUCCCUGUGGUAGGCAGAAUAAUGGCCCCCCGAAGACGUCCAUGCCCUGGUCCCAGGCACCUGUGAGUAUGUCACCUCACAUGGUGAAACAGACUUUGCAGAUGUGAUUAAGAAAAGGAUUUUGAGAUCAGGAGACAGUCCUGGAUUAUCUGGGAGGGCCCAGUGUAAUCACAAGGGGCCACAUAAGUGGGAGACAUUUCUACCUGUCAAGGGCAGAGUCAGUGAAAGCGAUGUGAUGAUGGCAGCAGUCGGUGAAGGAGAUUUAAAGAUGCUCGCUGCUGCUCUAUGGAUGGAGGAAGGGGCCAUGAGUCAAGGAAGGUAGGCAGCCGGAAAGAAAACAGGCUCUGCCCAGGAGCCUCCAGAAGGAACAUGCCCUGCGGGCACCCUGACUUUCGCUGUGAGACUGAUUUUGGACUCCGGACCUUCAGCACUGUAAGAUAAGAAACUUGCGUUGUUGUAAGCCACUACGUUUGCAGAAAUGUGUUACCAGCAGUAGGAAAUGAAUACAACCCUGUUUUGUUUUACUUUUUGCUUUCAUCCCCCAAACUAGUCUAGUUCCCCUCCCUCACGUUGGCCCC
rnacentral:lncRNA from 1 species